UCUAGCAAUAGAUGAGUGGCGAACGGGUGAGUAAGACAUAAGCAACCUAGCCUUUUGAGGGGGAUAACUGCUGGAAACGGCAGCUAAGACCGCAUAGGCAUAUUGAUCGCAUGAGAGAUAUGUUAAAUAUCCUACGGGAUAGCGAGGGGAUGGGCUUAUGACGCAUUAGCUAGUUGGAGGGGUAACGGCCCACCAAGGCGACGAUGCGUAGCCGGCCUGAGAGGGUGGACGGCCACACUGGGACUGAGACACGGCCCAGACUCCUACGGGAGGCAGCAGUAGGGAAUUUUCGGCAAUGGACGAAAGUCUGACCGAGCAACGCCGCGUGAGGGAGGAAGUACUUCGGUAUGUAAACCUCUGUUAUAAAGGAAGAACGGUAUAAUCAGGGAAUGGGUUAUAAGUGACGGUACUUUAUGAGGAAGCCACGGCUAACUACGUGCCAGCAGCCGCGGUAAUACGUAGGUGGCGAGCGUUAUCCGGAAUCAUUGGGCGUAAAGAGGGAGCAGGCGGCAGCAAGGGUCUGCGGUGAAAGACCGAAGCUAAACUUCGGUAAGCCGUGGAAACCGGGCAGCUAGAGAGCAUCAGAGGAUCGCGGAAUUCCAUGUGUAGCGGUGAAAUGCGUAGACAUAUGGAGGAACACCAGUGGCGAAGGCGGCGAUCUGGGGUGCAACUGACGCUCAGUCCCGAAAGCGUGGGGAGCAAAUAGGAUUAGAUACCCUAGUAGUCCACGCCGUANACGAUGAGUACUAAGUGUUGGGGGUNAGACCUCAGUGCUGCAGUUAACGCAAUAAGUACUCCGCCUG
rnacentral:rRNA from 1 species